GACGAACGCUGGCGGCGUGCCUAAUACAUGCAAGUAGAACGCUGAAGAGAGGAGCUUACUCUUCUUGGAUGAGUUGCGAACGGGUGAGUAACGCGCAGGUAACCUGCCUUGUAGCGGGGGAUAACUAUUGGAAACGAUAGCUAAUACCGCAUAACAAUGGAUGACACAUGUCAUUUAUUUGAAAGGGGCAAUUGCUCCACUACAAGAUGGACCUGCGUUGUAUUAGCUAGUAGGUGAGGUAAUGGCUCACCUAGGCGACGAUACAUAGCCGACCUGAGAGGGUGAUCGGCCACACUGGGACUGAGACACGGCCCAGACUCCUACGGGAGGCAGCAGUAGGGAAUCUUCGGCAAUGGGGGCAACCCUGACCGAGCAACGCCGCGUGAGUGAAGAAGGUUUUCGGAUCGUAAAGCUCUGUUGUAAGUCAAGAACGGGUGUGAGAGUGGAAAGUUCACACUGUGACGGUAGCUUACCAGAAAGGGACGGCUAACUACGUG
rnacentral:rRNA from 1 species